ACGGGUGAGUAACGCGUGGGAACAUACCCUUUUCUACGGAAUAGCUCUGGGAAACUGGAAUUAAUACCGUAUACGCCCUACGGGGGAAAGAUUUAUCGGGGAAGGAUUGGCCCGCGUUGGAUUAGCUAGUUGGUGGGGUAAAGGCCUACCAAGGCGACGAUCCAUAGCUGGUCUGAGAGGAUGAUCAGCCACAUUGGGACUGAGACACGGCCCAAACUCCUACGGGAGGCAGCAGUGGGGAAUAUUGGACAAUGGGCGCAAGCCUGAUCCAGCCAUGCCGCGUGAGUGAUGGAGGCCUUAGGGUUGUAAAGCUCUUUCACCGAUGAAGAUAAUGACGGUAGUCGGAGAAGAAGCCCCGGCUAACUUCGUGCCAGCAGCCGCGGUAAUACGAAGGGGGCUAGCGUUGUUCGGAAUUACUGGGCGUAAAGCGCACGUAGGCGGAUAUUUAAGUCAGGGGUGAAAUCCCAGAGCUCAACUCUGGAACUGCCUUUGAUACUGGGUAUCUUGAGUAUGGAAGAGGUAAGUGGAAUUGCGAGUGUAGAGGUGAAAUUCGUAGA
rnacentral:rRNA from 1 species